rnacentral:rRNA from 1 species
UGGGGAAUCUUGCACAAUGCGCGAAAGCGUGAUGCAGCAACGCCGCGUGCGGGAAGACGGCCUUAGGGUUGUAAACCGCUUUCAGUUGGGACGAAGCCUCGCGGGUUAAGAGCCGGUUGGGGUGACGGUACCUUCAGAAGAAGCGCCGGCUAACUACGUGCCAGCAGCCGCGGUAAUACGUAGGGCGCAAGCGUUGUCCGGAAUCAUUGGGCGUAAAGCGCGUGUAGGCGGCCAGGUAAGUCUGCUGUGAAAGUCCAGGGCUCAACCCUGGGAUGCCGGUGGAUACUGCUUGGCUAGAGUCUGGAAGGGGCGAGUGGAAUUCCUGGUGUAGCGGUGGAAUGCGCAGAUAUCAGGAGGAACACCUAUGGCGAAGGCAGCUCGCUGGGACAGUACUGACGCUGAGACGCGAAAGCGUGGGGAGCAAACAGG